rnacentral:tRNA from 1 species
GAUCGCAUAGCUAAGUUGGUCAGAGCACUACAAUGCCAUUGUAGGGGUCACUUGUUAGAGUCCAGUUUUGUCCA